rnacentral:rRNA from 1 species
UGACUCGGAUCAGGUAGGAUACCGCUGAACUUAGCA